UUUGGAGAUCUCGGCCUAUUGAGAUCCAGCUGCUGUAUUUGCGCUUUCCUCUUCUCUCGAUCACUCGCGCGGCGGUUCAUGGCGUCUCCCUUCUCUCCAGGGCUUCUCCUCCUACGCCUAUUGAGAACAGCGCGAUCUCGGCAUCACCCUCUUCCCUCCUCCUCCUCCUCCCCCUCCUAUUUCCCUCGCCGACGCUCUGCGCUUCUUGAAGCUUCCGUUAAUCUCGAUCUCGGCGGCCGCGAUGGCGGUUUCCUCUCCUCCUCGAGGGCUACCAUGCCUCUCAUAUCGCCAUCGGUUUAUAGGGUUUUCUUCUCGACUCGGACCUCGGAGCUCGACGAAGCGCAGGGACCGGCUGUCAUAGAUUACCGGUCUCUUCUGUCAGAGGAUGAGUUUCAUAGGUUGGCAGAUGCUACGAUACACGAUUUGCAAGAAAAAUUCGAGGAGUAUGGUGACUCUGUCCAAAUAGAUGGUUAUGAUAUAGACUACGGGAAUCAGGUUUUGACAUUGAAGCUAGGGAGUUUGGGCACAUAUGUUAUAAACAAGCAAACUCCAAACAGACAAAUCUGGAUGUCUUCACCAGUAAGAUAACAGAUAUGAAGGUGGAAAAGACCAAAGGGAGAAACUACAUGGAUUUGAAAAGUUCCUUUCAUGUUGUUUGCAAGUCCAAGAGGGGAAGGAAAGUUGAUUCUUUCUAAAUGAACUUUCUUCUACCAGUGUUUGCUAAGUAGCUUUGCCAGAUUGUUUUGUUUUGUAUGGCAAAGGAAUAAAGUGGGCCAGCAAGGUUUGAUUGGGAUGUGGCAACGAAGUCGUGGAUAUAUAGGCGGAAUAAAGUGAAUCUUUUGCAACUUCUGGAAGAAGAACUGGGGCAGCUAUGUGGUAAACCCAUUGAUCUUUCUUGAGUCAACAAUAUUUACCCUGAAAACGAGCAUAAAUUUGAUCGACUUUUCUGGCAAUAGACGCACUUGUAAAACAAAAAAAGGUCUCGACUUUUUUGAGUUAAAAAUUUUUUAUUUUUUUGGUUCAACUAGUCAAUCAAAUGUAUAUUGACAUGGUCAGCAGCCUGCAUUGUUAUCAUUUGGCAGCAAACAAGUUGUCAGCUAUCAUACUUGGGAGUAGGAAGUCAUGUCCAGCGGUACUUUAAAUGAUGAUGGGAAAACUAAUUCUGAUUUUUGUUCAUCCAAUGCUGUAAGGCCCAAGUGGCUUGAUGUUGU